GUAAUUGUAAUCUUUUCAGGUUAUAGCUUUAUAUCAUUUGGGAUAUGACUUACUGGCAGAAAAUGUAGUGAGUUCAAUUAAAGAACCUGAAGUUAUCUUGUCACCAAUAUUAGCUAUAACAAUCCAGAGAUUGAAACGUAGCUUAGAACAUUCUAACAACCAACCAGAAUGGAUUGUUACUAUUUCUCCGCACCUUUACAAACGCUUACAAAAUACUGUGUUGGACACGUCAAUACCGGCUCACCCAUCACUGUCUACCACAGUAUUAGUACUUCAAAAAUUAUUAUAUCAAUGUGAUAAAAAAUCAACAGAUUCACCAUCAGACAUACAAAAUAUUAAAUUAGCGGAACUGAUCAUCGAAAACUGCGAAGUUUUGCUUAAACGAAAACUAUAAGUUGUUUUAUUGAGAUAGCAUUGAUAUUAAUUUUCACAAUUUUAAAUUUGUCUACGAUUUGUCAACACAUUCUAGUUCAUAUGGAUUCAUUUCAAACGAAAAAUAACGAUUUUUGAGUAUGCCGCUCAAAAUCAGGUUCUAUGACUAUGACACUUUUGCAAUUAAAUAUAUCAUUGCUUUUAGUAUUCCAGUUUUCAAUGUAUGACAAAAAGUAUUUUCUGUUGACGAAUAUAAUCAUCGGAUGUUGAGACAGGAGGGGAAGGUAGCUGCCCCUCCUAGUAAAGUGUAAAAAAGCACACACGCUGAGUGCUUCUGAAUCGUAGAAUAAAAAUUUGUAGGCUAUAUUAUAUUUAAAAUUAUCGAAAAUGAAUUGACAUAGUAAGCUUUAAUAUAUAUUUAUUACCUUUAAUAAUCGAUUUGUUGACAUUUUUAAAGUUAUCAGUUUUCCCUUGCCUACUCAUCGCCACUGGCUAUAUCCUUACUGACGAGUAUGACAUGCCCUCAAUCUAAUCUACCACAAAAAGAGAAAAGAUGUGAUUGUUUGUUUGUAAUGGAUAAUCGCAAAAAUAUGCUUAACCAAUUUUAAAAAUUCUUUUACCUGUAAAAAGCUAUACCUAUUAUCAACGAUGAACAAAAAACUAUAUAUUAUUAAAAAAAAAUAGACAUCCUCACGAGGUCCGAAAAUUUUAACCCAAAGUUUAAAGAUUAGGCAAAUUUUUGCAACUUUAAUGUAAAAUACUAAUUUAUCUUUCUAUCUAUCUACUUGUGUAAAGCCGAGGCAAAUCUCUGGUUACUAAUACUUAGAAACAAUUUGCUAUAUUUGUAGUUAAUACAAAGAUGUUAUGUGAUUAAGUGAUUAAUAUAGUAAGCUAAAUGUUAUGUAAUAUUUUAAUUUAUUAUCAAACGAAAGCUCUUACUAUGUGCAUUUAAAAAUGUAAACCUAAUAAUAGUAACCUUUAUAAAUAUUUAUAAGUAGAGUGUAAAAACAGGUCUACAUCAACAUACCUCUUAAGUCUCACGCGCGGAUCAACCGUUCUAGGCACGAUAAGCACGCCCACAACCCUAAUAGACUUUAAUGUCAGGCUUUGUCGAUCUAUUCAGGCUAGGCUGAUGAUAUUAUAUCCAAUGCUUUUAAUAUAAUAUUUUAGUAACUUUCUUGACCAUACAAAAUACAAACUGACAUUUUACAGGUCUAUUAAUUUACUAGUAUUCACCCGUUGGUUUUGCCCACAUGAAACUAUACACUGUACAAAAUCUUGGUCAGGUCGUCAUUUAUUUUAUAAACAUCUCUCUACAAAUGCACUAUAUUGAUCAUGAGAGAGUUUAUACUCCGACACGGCCGAUUAUCGACUGUGACCAUCCAGGUUGGAUCCGCGCCUGAACUGACUAUAUAUAUAUUGUAAUAUAUUAUGUAACACACCAAUAAUGUUGAUCCAUAUAUAACACACUACUUAUAAUUUCUUCAUAUUUCUGUUCAUAUGGGCAAAGAAUGAAAUAAAUAAAUAUUUAAAAAAAUAAAAUAAUAACUAAAAGUAA
rnacentral:lncRNA from 1 species